GGCCUCACCUAGGGGUGCCCCGGCAGGGGGCUGAGAGUCUGCAGGCACGGCCAUGGCCCGGCGCAGCGCAGUGACCCUUCGAACCUGAUCCGGAUCAUGCCGGCGAAGGGACAGGACCGAAACGCUUUC
rnacentral:ncRNA from 1 species